AGCGGGCGAGCGGGCGGGCCGGGCCCGCAACCACGGCAACCGGGAGGGGGCGGGCUCCCGCCGCCAACAGCCAAUCGGGCGUGGUUCGGGCGAGAGAAUUGGUUUCCGGCGGCGUAAUUGACGGACAGAACAACCAAUCGCAAAUAUUAACCGCCCACGCCCUCACCGUACGUCGCCACCGGAGCCAAUAAAACAGCUGAGUUUAGGACACUUUUUUUCUCUCUCUCUCUCUCUCUCUCUCUUUUUUUUUUUUUUUAAACUCUCACCAACUUCCCGAAAGAUAACGGGCAGAUGCUUUAACCAAUCACCUCAGGGGAGCUGCAGCCAAUCACUGAGGAAAGCGAAGAAGCCGCCCUCCAGGGAUAAACAGGGCUACAUUUUAAAUCGCGAACGAAAGAGGGGGGUCUUCCCGGUGGAAGUGCGUAGUGUAAGAAAGUAAGAAUGUGUCAACGUUUGGGGCUCUUCCGCAAAGGGGGGAGUAAUAGCUUCUGAAGCGGAACGAUCCCUUUGGUGAGGGUUCCAGUCACUGACUUACGAAGAAUUUUAAUUCAACGUGACUGCCCCACAGCGACGCCGCAGUCGGCGAGCCGGUCACCGAGCCAGGAACCGUGUGUCCAGGGCGCAGGCUCAGCCCCGCCGCCCGCGCCGCCCGCGGUGAUGCGCACAGCCCACGGGACACGCAGGGGCUCCGCGCGGCGGACCGGCCCCGCGACCCCUCUCACCACCCGGCCGCCCAGCAGGACGUCCAUACGCUGGACGAGGAGCGGGAGGAGCGGACGCCGGACACCAGCGACUUGCGUGCGGAUGCCGCGCGCCCCGGACCACGGCCUGGGUCCAGGCGAAAGUUCUUCCUUCUCCCUCAACCCACUAAAAAUGUAAUCUUUCCCCUGACAGUUGAAAAACACCUUCAGAAUUUGCGGUGCUCUCGGAACACCACCGUGAGGUUUCUCGUGAUACUGUGUGGAGAAAAGCGCUGUUUUAUUUGAUCUCUGCCCCACGUAUGCCUACUCCCCUUGUGGUUACAAGGAAACCGAGGAAAGAAAUGAACACCGAACACGCAUCGCUUACCAACUGCUUGAUGUAUUUUAUAUGAUUUCUCCCUCACAAGAACCUUAGCAGGAUCUGCCUACCCAGGUUAAAGUGCAAACCCGUUAUUCUAGCAGUCAGCCGUUGUCUUCCGCCUACUAGUGGGUCCGGUCUUCGAGCAAUCUGGUCAACUAAAUAUGUGUACAUGUCACAAUCUUUUCAUUUGAACAGACUCUCUAAACAUUUGGAGUUAAUUGUUACUUCCCAUUUUAAAAACCAACUUUGUUGGCGUAUUAAUUAUAUAGCCCAACCUUCCA